GAUGAACGCUGGCGGCGUGCCUAAUACAUGCAAGUCGAGCGAACGGACGAGAAGCUUGCUUCUCUGAUGUUAGCGGCGGACGGGUGAGUAACACGUGGAUAACCUACCUAUAAGACUGGGAUAACUUCGGGAAACCGUAGCUAAUACCGGAUAAUAUUUUGAACCGCAUGGUUCAAAAGUGAAAGACGGUCUUGCUGUCACUUAUAGAUGGAUCCGCGCUGCAUUAGCUAGUUGGUAAGGUAACGGCUUACCAAGGCAACGAUGCAUAGCCGACCUGAGAGGGUGAUCGGCCACACUGGAACUGAGACACGGUCCAGACUCCUACGGGAGGCAGCAGUAGGGAAUCUUCCGCAAUGGGCGAAAGCCUGACGGAGCAACGCCGCGUGAGUGAUGAAGGUCUUCGGAUCGUAAAACUCUGUUAUUAGGGAAGAACAUAUGUGUAAGUAACUGUGCACGUCUUGACGGUACCUAAUCAGAAAACCACGGCUAACUACGU
rnacentral:rRNA from 1 species